AGCAGUCGCCGCGGUAAUACGGAGGGGGCUAGCGUUGUUCGGAAUUACUGGGCGUAAAGCGCACGUAGGCGGCUUUGUAAGUUAGAGGUGAAAGCCUGGGGCUCAACUCCAGAAUUGCCUUUAAGACUGCAUCGCUUGAACGACGGAGAGGUGAAUGGAAUUCCGAGUGUAGAGGUGAAAUUCGUAGAUAUUCGGAAGAACACCAGUGGCGAAGGUGGCUCACUGGACGACUGUUGACGCUGAGGUGCGAAAGCGUGGGGAGCAAACAGGAUUAGAUACCCCUGUAGUCCCUGUCUCUUAUAC
rnacentral:rRNA from 1 species